rnacentral:rRNA from 1 species
CAGCCGCCGCGGUAAAACAGAGGGUGCAAGCGUUAAUCGGAAUUACUGGGCGUAAAGCGCGCGUAGGUGGUUCGCCAAGUCGGAUGUGAAAUCCCUGAGCUUAACUUAGGAAUUGCAUUCGAUACUGGGAAGCUAGAGUAUGGGAGAGGAUGGUAGAAUUCCAGGUGUAGCGGUGAAAUGCGUAGAGAUCUGGAGGAAUACCGAUGGCGAAGGCAGCCAUCUGGCCUAAUACUGACGCUGAGGUACGAAAGCAUGGGGAGCAAACAGGAUUAGAUACCCCCGUAGUCCCUGUCUCUUAUAC